AUCCUUAUUUCAAUAUUUGUUACAUUCAUUACAGCACCGGGGACGACUGACCUUUACCUGGGAACGUUGAUUCUUGGACUGUUAGCUUUUGUUUCCCUAAAGCAAGUAAUCACUUGAAUUCCCUGGCAUUGCUCUCUGACAUGAAGCUCGUGGGGUGGCAAUGUGGGGGAGGUUAAUGCCUUCGCCGGCUGACGACUGGGCCCGAGCUGGCCGGGUCUGUGAGCCUAGAAGCCUGGCUGGCCAACACAAACAUGCUGAUUCCCCUGAACUCAUUAAAAGGGGUUUGGUUGGGUUAGAGAGAAUUCCAAUGAUUGCUCCUGGAAACACGACCAGGCCUCACAGUUCCGAUGUGUCACAAAGGCCUGGAAACAAAGUGUAGCCCUGCCUUCCUGAAGGAAUUUGAAGUGAUAUAGAUUUGAACUAUUUGGCACAAAAGACUUUCAUGUUGGGCAGGCUGACCAGUACCUGGGACACAAAGAAGGAUGUGAGUCAUCCCUGCCCAAUGUAUCCAUGCUGUAUACAUCGCCUGCCCAUGAAUUGCUUAGAAGACAUCUUGGACAUCAGAUUCGCCAUCACACUUGCGUUCCAGUUACUUUCACUUUACUAAUAAAGGCCCCACUCCACAAGAGCAAUGAGGCUUCACGCUAUGCCACAGAGAAGCUGAAGUGCUUCCUUUUACUGAAAAGAUACUGUGUACCACAGCUAAUGGGACUGCCAGACCUGGGAGGGCGAGUGAGGCCUCGAUCGUCUGCAGCUGCACCCUCUCCUGGAGGGGGCUCCACAGGCAUUGUGUCGGCAAAGCAGUGUCCACUGGAAUGGCACUGGGGUGUGGCUCUUAGUGCACAGUCAGGGCCCCGCCUAUGUGUGAUCAAGGAAAUCUCUGGGUCUCUUUCAAUACAAGGAUGGAACAGUAUGCUGCAUAAUUGCCUUUUCUCACUGGGCUUUUGGUACACAUGCUCAGGUGAAUAUAUGUAUUCUCAGUAGAAACCACUAUGGAUUGUACAAUGGAGAACAAUGGAAAAGGAAGAUUUAUUUAACUCUUCAUUGCUUGAGAAGAUACUAAAGGAUGCUAGGAUGGGGGAG
rnacentral:lncRNA from 1 species